rnacentral:rRNA from 1 species
UCGGCAACACUUGAAGUCGCUGGGCCAACCCUUCGGGGGGGUAGGCGCCGAGAGUGGGGUCGGUAACUGGGACGAAGUCGUAACAAGGUAGCUGUACCGGAAGGUGCGGCUGGAUCACCUCCUUU